AAAAUCAGGGCAGGGCUACAGGUGAUCUGGUGAACUGGACUUGGUGAAUGGUGUGGAAGGGACUUUGGGAGAGACCUGUGCCCAUGAUAAAAGGGAAGAUGAAGGUGUUCCUUUGAGUUUGCAUGUGUGGGGCCUUUUUGACAUGGUUGACUUGUCUGUGCUCCUUCCUGUGACUUGACAUCAAAAUUAGGAACAGCAAGCUCUACCAAAGCAAGGUCUCCUCUGCUUCCUCAGACUGCCGACCAGUGCUGAGAACAGGGACACUGAAUAUCUGUGAGCUGAGCGCAUCCAGCCAUCAACUGAGUCACUCACUGAAGAACGCUACAUUCUGGGCAUAUCUUCCAUGACAGUCCAGCAGGGUAGCUGUUGGAAAUCCAAACAUGUCCACUCCUGCUUACGACCUCAGUCACCACCUCUUCAUAUGAUUCUUCCAUGGGCUGUUCCUGAGCACCUGAGGGAGAAAAACAAACAGAAACAAACAGGAAAGGGCAGAAUAAUUGAUACGUGAGAAGGAAAAAGUCAACAGUUGUUGAGACAUAAGUGAAUGUAAGAAACCUAGAUUGCUUGACAUAAUGUCAGUUACUAAAAUGUCACUGCAAAAUGGGCCCAAAGGUACCAGGACCACACACAAAUGAGUCUAGGAGGAAGCAGGAUGUGGGAAAGCAGAGAACACAUAAACAUAUAUCUCUUCCUGCCAAUCCCAAGUUAAUAGUCACUCCUGUUUACACUUUGGUCUUGGCAUGUAAUUGGGAUCUUCCAUUUUGGUUCCCCACCUAACCACCUACUACUUUCUUCCCUCCAAGCCCCAGAGGAAUUCAGAAUCUAAGAAAACAACAUUUCAGCCUUCACGAUUGGUUGGAACCAAUCAGCUCUCCAGUUAUCUGUAGUUACAAAGACUUAACAAGAGAGUCCAUUUGUUACCACUGAACAAUUCUUAGGAGGCUCCAGACCCAGACUCGCCUUUCUCUUGCUCUUGAAGAUACAAGAAUACCAGUUCUGACCAAGUGUAAACACUUGUCAAUUCUUGGAAAAGAAAGACCUACUCUGGACUCCAAGCCCAAGGCACUCCAACUAGGCUGGAGUACAGUGACUCAAUCAUAGCUUGCUGUGACUUUGAACUCCUGGACUCAACGGAUCCUCCCACUUCAGCCUCCCAAAUAGCUAGGACUACAGGUAAGCACCACCAAGCCUGGCUAAUUUUUAAAAAUUAUUUUAACUUUUUUUUGUAGAGAUGGGUCUCAUUAUCCUGCCCAGGCUGGUCUCCAACUCUUGGCCUGAAGUGACCCUCCUGCCUCGGCCUCCCAAGACAUGUAGGCAUGAGCCACUACACCUGGCCCACAUGAUCUAUUUUUUUAAAAAAAUAUUUCUUCUUACUUCAGGAUCCUAAUUACUGAAUUCUUACACUUUUAAGAAGUGCAGUGGUUCAAUGCAUACUCCUUGUUUCCCUCUAAUUUGUCCUAUCAAAAUGCUGGCCUUCUGAUUUAAUGAAAUAAUAGUAUGAUGCUACCAUUCUUUGUUUUGUCAACCUAAGCACCUGGUUCUUCUUGACAACUGCACAUUCUGCUACAAGCUGUGAUGACCAGGAGAAUCAUUUAAAUUUUUAUUUGGAGGACUCACUUCCAACUUGGAACACAAGCUGCAAAGGAAUUCCCUACCAGCAUGCCAGCACAUCAUUUGGAAGUUCAAGCAUCUGACUGAGGCAUGUUUAUGGGAGUCUGGCGAGGAAGACUCCGGUUUGCAGAACACCUCCAAUGUAGGCAGAGCACCAAUCUAAGCCUGCAGAGACUAGGGCUCCUGGCCAGGAUCCGUGAGUCGGCUUCUUGAAGUGAAAGACAGAACUCUCUGCUCUUCAGGUUCUAUCAGUGCAAAGAGGGCCCACUAAGACCCACUCUGCAGGGCUGUUGAGGAAAGCCCCAUCUGACAGGCACCCGACAAAGCUCCUCACACUCCGUAAAUGCCAACCAUCAUGAAUGUGGCUAUGAUUAAAUUGUGAUGAGGACUGUGACCCACAAGACUGGAAAACCAGUUUGGCACCUUGAUGCGGAUGUUUUCAAGGACUGGGUUA